CAUGAUUUACAUUUGAGUGAGUGGCGAACUGGUGAGUAACACGUGGGAAACCUGCCCAGAAGCGGGGGAUAACACCUGGAAACAGAUGCUAAUACCGCAUAACAACUUGGACCGCAUGGUCCGAGUUUGAAAGAUGGCUUCGGCUAUCACUUUUGGAUGGUCCCGCGGCGUAUUAGCUAGAUGGUGGGGUAACGGCUCACCGUGGCAAUGAUACGUAGCCGACCUGAGAGGGUAAUCGGCCACAUUGGGACUGAGACACGGCCCAAACUCCUACGGGAGGCAGCAGUAGGGAAUCUUCCACAAUGGACGAAAGUCUGAUGGAGCAACGCCGCGUGAGUGAAGAAGGGUUUCGGCUCGUAAAACUCUGUUGUUAAAGAAGAACAUAUCUGAGAGUAACUGUUCAGGUAUUGACGGUAUUUAACCAGAAAGCCACGGCUAACUACGUGCCAGCAGCCGCGGUAAUACGUAGGUGGCAAGCGUUGUCCGGAUUUAUUGGGCGUAAAGCGAGCGCAGGCGGUUUUUUAAGUCUGAUGUGAAAGCCUUCGGCUCAACCGAAGAAGUGCAUCGGAAACUGGGAAACUUGAGUGCAGAAGAGGACAGUGGAACUCCAUGUGUAGCGGAGAAAUGCGUAUAUAUAUGGAAGAACACCAGUGGCGAAGGCGGCUGUCUGGUCUGUAACUGACGCUGAGGCUCGAAAGUAUGGGUAGCAAACAAGAUUAGAUACCCUGGUAGUCCAUACCGUAAACGAUGAAUGCUAAGUGUU
rnacentral:rRNA from 2 species